UACCAGACUCCUACGGGAGGCAGCAGUGGGGAAUAUUGCACAAUGGGGGAAACCCUGAUGCAGCGACGCCGCGUGAGUGAAGAAGUAUUUCGGUAUGUAAGGCUCUAUCAGCAGGGAAGAAAAUGACGGUACCUGACUAAGAAGCCCCGGCUAACUACGUGCCAGCAGCCGCGGUAAUACGUAGGGGGCAAGCGUUAUCCGGAAUUACUGGGUGUAAAGGGAGCGUAGACGGUGAAGUAAGUCUGGAGUGAAAGGCGGGGGCCCAACCCCCGGACUGCUCUGGAAACUAUUUGACUGGAGUGCAGGAGGGGUAAGCGGAAUUCCUAGUGUAGCGGUGAAAUGCGUAGAUAUUAGGAGGAACACCAGUGGCGAAGGCGGCUUACUGGACUGUAACUGACGUUGAGGCUCGAAAGCGUGGGGAGCAAACAGGAUUAGAUACCCCGGUAU
rnacentral:rRNA from 1 species